GAGGGGGAGGGGAGGCAGGGGAGGCGGAGGAGGCGGCGGCGGGGACAGCCCUUCUUCCUCAUCUCUCCAGCCUACUGGUCACCUCUCGCUGGAAGCCUUCCCAUCCGAUGCUGGCUAGGGGGGGAAGAGACAGGAAAUAGAUAGGAUUUAAUUUAUAGUCGUGUGUGUGUGUGUGCGCACGCGUGUACAUGUGUGUAUACAUGCCUAGCUGUGCUCCUACAGCCAGGCAUGUAUAUAGAUAUCUAUAAAUGGUCUACUUUAAACUAUGCAGGGUUUGGGUUAAGUUAUUUGGCUGGUUUCUCUUCCAUUUUAGAGACAGGCCUAUUUUCAGGAGGCUGCCUGGUUCUCUAAAAUCUAGAGAUUAGCCACAGCUGACAACACAGGGAGCUUCAGGUCAUUUGCUUUCCAGUGAUUUUUCCUCUGGAUGAAGGCUUUGGUCUGGUUUCUGAUUGGUGAUUUCUAAGGGCAGAGAUAAUCAUGACAGAAUUGAAAUCUCUGGAACACUUGGUUUGAGGCUGCAGGGCUUCAGACUGUGUUGGAAAGGAGGAGGCAGAAAAUGGUUCGUUUACCAGGUCAGCUGUGAGCAUAACUUCUGCCCGAAGGUUUGGCUCCCCAUCCUGAGCUCAUCAGUGUUUAAAUUUGAUGGAGACUGUCCAGCCAGCCGGGAUGAUGGCUGGUCAGUUUCUCUGUCCUAACUUCGAACUCCCCCCCCCCCCCCAUGCUGCACCUCAGGGGUCCCCCUUCCCAACGUAGCUUUGCACCACAGAAGCACAGUCUGGCACCCUGUCCAGGGGUGACUGGACUAACUGGAGCCUGGCGAGGAAAAGCUGGCCGAGUUUGGAAUGCACUUACUGAGGGGAGCUGGGCUGCCCCUCACCUCCUCAUCCUCCUGAGUGGUCUGCUGCCUCUGAGGGGUCCGUGGCCUCCAGAGCUCAGAGGAAGCCGGUGCCAGCGCCCAGGGGCCUGGGCAGAGUGGCCAGCCUCCCGACCGACCCGGGACAGCUUCCAAGCACAGCGACCUUCCCCAGGAUGGAUGGCCCCCCCAGGUCUUCUCUUGAUCCCACUUCGGGCUAAAGAUACUCUGCUCAACCAGAAUGGUUUUCUUAUCUUCACUUUACGAAGGAGGAUUUUUCUCAAAACAGCUGUUGCUGCCGGGGGGGAGCACCCUCCACCUGGAGAGAUCUCAGUGGAAGGGAACUCAAGAACAGCCUCGGACCUGCAGAACGCCCCCACUCAGCUAAUGACCCAGCCCCUCCACCCUCCACCCCAUGACUUCUCUGAGUCGCUAUCCAUGGAUGGUAUAAGCUCGGUGCAAUAAAGCAUAGAUCCUGAAGAAUAACCACAGAGGCUGAAUUAGAAUUAUGAAAUUGUACAUCUAUAAAUAAAUGUUUAUAAUGUGAGAGACCA
rnacentral:lncRNA from 1 species